UACGUAGGGGGCAAGCGUUGUCCGGAAUCAUUGGGCGUAAAGAGCGUGUAGGCGGCCCGGUAAGUCCGCCGUGAAAGUCCAGGGCUCAACCCUGGAAUGCCGGUGGAUACUGUCGGGCUUGAGUACGGAAGAGGCGAGUGGAAUUCCUGGUGUAGCGGUGAAAUGCGCAGAUAUCAGGAGGAACACCAAUUGCGAAGGCAGCUCGCUGGGACGUUACUGACGCUGAGACGCGAAAGCGUGGGGAGCAAACAGG
rnacentral:rRNA from 1 species